GUAAAUAACCCGGCUCACACAGCUCUACGGCUCAGGUUUGUGCUGGCGGCAGCUUCCCUGGGCUAGUCACCCUCCUGCAGCUCCCCGGGCGGCCAUGGCCCCGGGAACGCCCUGCUCGCUAGUGAGAGCAGCUGGGGCUGUGGGCUGCUAGAAAAGGCCCAGCCCACAGAGGUAAAGCCCAAGUUUAGGGUUGGCUUGGGAGGGAGGAAGUCUGUGGGGGAGGGACUGAUGUAAUUUGGGAGCUACAAGAUGGCUGGGCCCUGCAGCUGUGGGGGGACCUUGCUAUGAUCAAAAAUCUCCACAGAAACAGGAGCUGAGAAGUUUCUCCUGCCGUGGCAAAAGGCAUUACUUCAACCUCCAGAAACCUGAAGCUAUAAAAUGAAGAAACCUUACAGCCAAAGGACUUAAAUCUUAUGAGGUGUGGGGUUUUCUAUCUGGAUGUCCUGAAGAAAGGCUUGACCCUGGAAGGCUGCAGUGCAGGCAGAGUCUGCAGAGGAGACGGGCCCUUCUGCACCAUGAGUGCCCCUUGGGUCUGGAUCAGCAACCAAGUUCUGCCCUGAAAUGGCUUGAAAUGGAAGGAGCCGUGGCACUUCAGCAUCGCCGUGAGCCACAACGAGCUGGUGAAUGUGAUCAGAAGCUGUCGCCUUCAGGACCACAUAUCUGCCUUAUCAGAGGGAACAUAAGGACAUGCAGUCAGGCUGCUUCAUAGAAUUUACCAUCUCCAGUGUUACUCCACACUGUGUAAAGGACUUGGAUAAAGAGUUUGCCCAUCGGCUUUUAGCGAGAGCUGGUAUAAAUCUGCAUCAGCCCAGGAACAGGCCAAGGAUAAAGUUCUUAUUGUUCUACCCUCCUGGGUGCCUCAUGGCUUCAGUCGGGAAGUAAUUUGCUUUGGUUUAUAUGCUGUUAGCACGUUCCUUCCCAGAUGGAGGGCCUGAGUUAUUAUGGCUUCUUUGUCGGUGGCAGCAGAAGGAAUUAAAUCGCAAUGUUUUGCCCAGAUCUGGUGAUGGUGGGGAAGAGAGGAACAGAGAUUAACUGGACUUUGGAGACAGCUCCUCGGUGUGCUGGCACAGGCAGCUCUGUGUUCAGAGAGCGAAGGAACUGUAUGCGCUGAACAAGAGACUUGUCUGGAGACUUACCCUCAUUAUUCCUUUUCUUGGCAGUAUCUAGUGUUAUUUAGCAAAUGCAAGUUUAGUUCCAUUCGAAGCUGUGGGUCUGUCUCUUGAGCACAGAGACAGGUCAGGGUCUUUGGGGGGGUCUUGACUUCAUCCCUGCCCAAAGAUCACUUGAGAAGCUGGAGCUGCCCACCUGAGCACAUUGUCUCUCAUCCGUGUUGCCUUAGUCCUAACACUUUUCUUUUUUGACUUCUCACCUUUCUUAUAUCUUCAGCAAUAUCUCAAAAUUCAAUCAGCUGAACUAUUCGUCUAUAAAAAAGAAAAGCCAUUUUGAGAUGUUCAAAGCUACUUUGUCAACUUGAAAUGCUUUCAGUAUGUAUUCAUAGGUACUAAGUGCAAAUAUAUUAUGCGAUUCUCUUUUCUAAUUAUUUAUGGCCCUUCUGUGAUAUUGCAUGUCAGUUUAAAUUUGCACCACUGCUGAAGUUAUCUGGCAGUGAAUUAUAAUUCUGAUAUGCAGUUACAGUGGUGUAAACAAUAGUAUAAUAGAUGGGUAUGUUUCCUGAGACUCUAUAAAGAGCACAGGGCUUCUUCCUCCAAAGGUGUUUGAUAGUUCCCAUGAUACCUGUGCUUUUGUUGUCGGGUCUCGCUUAUUUUGCCUGGUCAAUCAUGCUCACUUCCUUAGUUUAGUGUUAAGCUUUCCCUAAAUACCUUAAACUAAACCAGCAGACCCUGUUAUCCCUGCAGGAAUUAUAGUCGUAUAAAUAGUAAUGGGGAUUUACACCUCAGUUCAGCUUCACUUUUCCUUGCGUCUUAAAACUUACUGUGCAUCUGCUGAAUAACAUGAACUUAUUCUAUAUGUGCUCUUAACCUAUGAUAAACUUCACCUCGGUCAUGCAGUAAUAAAAACGAAAUAUACCAGGCACUGUAACUGUUUCCAAAUGAAUCCCCAUUUAUUGUUUGUAAGGAGAUGACUUUGCUAUUUGAACAGACACAUUGAAUUUGAAAAUUGGAGUUGGGAGAGAGAGAUGGAAAGCAGCAUGUAAACCUGCUGUUGUGAUUAUACUACCCACAGUAAAAAUGGAUUAAGGACCUGUUCCUGAGUUGAUGGUAGUGAUUGUGAUUCAUAGCAACUUUCAAAUCUAUCUGAUGUCUAGUUUCAUUAUGUUUCAUUUUUAGUGAAACAUUUUGUUUAUAAUGACAUGCAUGCCAAAUAAAUAAAUCCUAAUCCAAGCUAGUGAUGAUAAAGGAAACAUGAAAGAAAAACAACAAAUUUGAUGGAAAUGCAGUAUCAUGAAUUUCACCUAUAUUUGAUCUGCACGUAUCUGUUACCUCUUGCACUUCUAUCUUUGGAAUGCUUCCUCUGCAUUUCAGAGCUCACGUGGUAGAAUGAUUCAUUUUGUCAUCAUCAGAGCAGGUAGCACUUGAGGCUGCUUAAGCAGCGCAGUGAUGACAGUCGCUUGGGUGGCACAACCGUUCUGAAGGUCAUUCUGACACCUCGAACACUUGGUUCUGUACCACGUGAAACUGAGGAAAUCCCCGCGGUCAUUCAGCAGCUUAUUUGGCCGUUUAAAUCACCCAAAUUACUCCUUCUGGCUAAAAGGUGCCUACAUUUCUAUUUCAUGUAGCAUGUUAGCACUGCUUAUGCAGCAAAGUUUACACCAUCCUCUUCAACGAGACUUAAAUUGGAUACACGCAUUCAACAUCCAUAGAAAUUCAACGGUAUCUGGACACCAGAUUCACUUGUGCACCUUUAAAUACUUUGGCCUGAAUUAGCAAUAAACUGUACAAUACUAUUUAAUCAACUAGUGGUUCUCCAUCUAGUCUUUCUUUUCCUAAUCUCUUUUUCUCUGUGUGAAACAAAUGGAAUUAAUAUCAAUAGCCUUCUUAAUCAGUUAAUCUAGCUAGCUUUUGUGCUAUGAAUAUAAGCCUGGCUUUCAAGCAGCUCCUUCUUUAUGUUUUGCUUAGGGUCCUAAUACUUGUGCUUAACAUCUCUGGAUUAACAAGUAAAACCAAGCCUAUUGUGAUACUCCUCUGGA